rnacentral:rRNA from 1 species
GGAUUCCUACGGGACGCAGCAGUGGGGAAUAUUGCACAAUGGGGGAAACCCUGAUGCAGCAACGCCGCGUGAGUGAAGAAGUAUUUCGGUAUGUAAAGCUCUAUCAGCAGGGAAGAAGAUGACGGUACCUGAUUAAGAAGCCCCGGCUAACUACGUGCCAGCAGCCGCGGUAAUACGUAGGGGGCAAGCGUUAUCCGGAUUUACUGGGUGUAAAGGGAGCGUAGACGGCGAUGCAAGUCUGAAGUGAAAGCCCGGGGCUCAACCCCGGGACUGCUUUGGAAACUGUGUGGCUGGAGUGCUGGAGG